AUGGGCGUGGCUGCGCUACCACGCCGGAGCGGAAAGGGAGGACACAACAGUUGGAGGAGGAGCUGCGCGCAGUGCGCCAAAUUGGAUCUGGGGGCGGCUUGGGUGGUUUCCGACACGAGGGAGACGAAACAACCCUACCACCACCAACCCCGGGCGUGGCACAGCUUCACCGGCCGGCCCUCCUAUGGCAACGAUAGGGGAGAGAGUGUCAGUGCUGGAGGAGUGGCAAUGCAUAUAUACAUGCAACCAACAAACCAAAAAUAUGCAAGGUCGCUCCGGGGAGACAAGGAGAUUGCGCCAUUCAUGCAGUUCGUACCCGCAUCGCAUAUAUGUUGUGUCGUGAUGGAUGGCACAAAUAAGUUCGUGUGGUCGAGCCACAAGGACGGUAGGAUCCGAUCAUGGUCCUCUCAACGAUGGUGGUAG
rnacentral:rRNA from 1 species